rnacentral:rRNA from 1 species
GAUGAACGCUGGCGGCGUGCCUAAUACAUGCAAGUCGAGCGAACAGACGAGGAGCUUGCUCCUCUGACGUUAGCGGCGGACGGGUGAGUAACACGUGGAUAACCUACCUAUAAGACUGGGAUAACUUCGGGAAACCGGAGCUAAUACCGGAUAAUAUAUUGAACCGCAUGGUUCAAUAGUGAAAGACGGUUUUGCUGUCACUUAUAGAUGGAUCCGCGCCGCAUUAGCUAGUUGGUAAGGUAACGGCUUACCCAGGCAACGAUGCGUAGCCGACCUGAGAGGGUGGACGGCCACACUGGAACUGAGACACGGUCCACACUCCUACGGGAGGCAGCAGUAGGGAAUCUUCCGCAAUGGGCGAAAGCGUGACGGAGCAACGCCGCGUGAGUGAUGAAGGUCUUCGGAUCGUAAAACUCUGUUAUUAGGGAAGAACAAAUGUGUAAGUAACUAUGCACGUCUUGACGGUACCUAAUCAGAAAGCCACGGCUAACUACGUG